GCCUUCAUAGUGUAGUGGUUAGCACGCUGGGCUCGUAUUCCAGAGGUCCGUGGUUCGAUUCCCGGCGAGGGCG
rnacentral:tRNA from 1 species